GGAAAAGAAAUCAACCGAGAUUCCCCCAGUAGCGGCGAGCGAACGGGGAGGAGCCCAGAGCCUGAAUCAGUGUGUGUGUUAGUGGAAGCGUCUGGAAAGGCGCGCGAUACAGGGUGACAGCCCCGUACACAAAAAUGCACAUAUUGUGAGCUCGAUGAGUAGGGCGGGACACGUGGUAUCCUGUCUGAAUAUGGGGGGACCAUCCUCCAAGGCUAAAUACUCCUGACUGACCGAUAGUGAACCAGUACCGUGAGGGAAAGGCGAAAAGAACCCCGGCGAGGGGAGUGAAAAAGAACCUGAAACCGUGUACGUACAAGCAGUGGGAGCCUCUUAAUGGGGUGACUGCGUACCUUUUGUAUAAUGGGUCAGCGACUUAUAUUCUGUAGCAAGGUUAACCGAAUAGGGGAGCCGAAGGGAAACCGAGUCUUAACUGGGCGUUAAGUUGCAGGGUAUAGACCCGAAACCCGGUGAUCUAGCCAUGGGCAGGUUGAAGGUUGGGUAACACUAACUGGAGGACCGAACCGACUAAUGUUGAAAAAUUAGCGGAUGACUUGUGGCUGGGGGUGAAAGGCCAAUCAAACCGGGAGAUAGCUGGUUCUCCCCGAAAGCUAUUUAGGUAGCGCCUCGUGAAUUCAUCUCCGGGGGUAGAGCACUGUUUCGGCAAGGGGGUCAUCCCGACUUACCAACCCGAUGCAAACUGCGAAUACCGGAGAAUGUUAUCACGGGAGACACACGGCGGGUGCUAACGUCCGUCGUGAAGAGGGAAACAACCCAGACCGCCAGCUAAGGUCCCAAAGUCAUGGUUAAGUGGGAAACGAUGUGGGAAGGCCCAGACAGCCAGGAUGUUGGCUUAGAAGCAGCCAUCAUUUAAAGAAAGCGUAAUAGCUCACUGGUCGAGUCGGCCUGCGCGGAAGAUGUAACGGGGCUAAACCAUGCACCGAAGCUGCGGCAGCGACACUAUGUGUUGUUGGGUAGGGGAGCGUUCUGUAAGC
rnacentral:rRNA from 1 species